rnacentral:rRNA from 1 species
UAGGGAAUCUUCGGCAAUGGACGGAAGUCUGUCCGAGCAACGCCGCGUGAGUGAAUAAGGUUUUCGGAUCGUAAAGCUCUCUUGUUAGAGAAGAACGUUGGUAGGAGUGGAAAAUCUACCAAGUGACGGUACUAACCAGAAAGGGACGGCUAACUACGUGCCAGCAGCCGCGGUAAUACGUAGGUCCCGAGCGUUGUCCGGAUUUAUUGGGCGUAAAGCGAGCGCAGGUGGUUCUUUAAGUCUGAAGUUAAAGGCAGUGGCUUAACCAUUGUACGCUUUCGAAACUGGGGGACUUGAUUGCAGAAGGGGAGAGUGGAAUUCCAUGUGUAGCGGUGAAAUGCGUAGAUAUAUGGAGGAACACCGGUGGGUAAAGCGGCUCUCUGGUCUGUAACUGACGCUGAGGCUCGAAAGCGUGGGGAGCAAACAGG